GAUUCUCAUUGGAAAGUAUUAUUCAAUUUUCAGUAUUAUGAAAUUAGGAUUCCUUGUCUAGAAAUUAGUUAUUUGACUUCUAUCUGACUUCAUCUAAUGUAUGCGAAAGAAAUUAGUUUUAUUUUUCAUGGAUUGUUUGUAGAACUGAACUAGUAGCUGAUAAUUCUUUGCCAUGCCUUUUCUAAGUUUUUUCACUAGGUUUGCAAUUUAAUUUGCAGGGAAAUAUGUUAAAAACAACUACCUAAGUACAGUAGCUACUAGCUAGUUAUUAAAUACUAAUAUACUAUGAUUUUCUUUAUAGUUUUUAGUUUCUAGUUCUCUCACUUUUAGUAAAACUAUUUGAUGAUGCAAAAUGCUCAUAACUCACAUAUGACCUAGCUGUGUUUUUAGCACACUUUUUGAUGUUCUGUCUAUGAGUGUUUCAAUCUCUAACUUGCUGAUAAGCCCUGCUGCAUUCUUUGUUUUUAUCUUUCUAUUUUCUCCUAUUGUUUUUUCUUAGUUUUAGUCUUUUACAGGAAACAUUAUCCAUUCCUUCAUUUUACUUAUUCUAUCUUUCUCUUCUCUUUAAUAAAAUAGUUUUCUAUUAAAAAACAUAAUGACAAAAUUAAUAAAUGUUAGCUUUCUCAAGGUGUUUUUCUUGCAAUGUUCGUUUGAAAAGAAAAGAGUGAAGUCAUAUAAAAGCAAAGUUUAAGGGUUUGUUUGAUUUCUAUGUUCAAAAAGUGGUUUUAGUUACAAAAACAACAAAUAAAAUAGUCACCCACACCCAUGAACAAGCAGGUGGAACAAAACCUUUUGUAUCCAUGUCUUACUCUCUAUUAAUCAUUGCUGAGAAAGGUGGUAUUGAUGCAGUACUCAGAUAUAUAGAUGACAGUGGUGAACAAUGGAACAAAGUUGUGGCCAAAGUUUGUUGCUCAUUGCUUUCAAAGAUAGCAGAUGAACUAGAACAUUUGUUGGACGAUGAUAAUAACAUGGCUGAAAUGUACUUGACACAAAAGCUUAAUGGUCGUUUAUUGGAGAAGGCAUCAUUUAAAGAAGGGUACAAUUACGAAUUUGAAGAGAACGAUCAAAGUGAUGAAUCAUAUUCGAAAAAGUUUGACAAAUACCAUUAUCAUAAACUUGAUGUUGAGGAAUUGGAAAUGCUUCUAGAAGCAUAUUUUGCACAGACUAAUGGAAUCUUACAACGAUUGUCUAGUGGAAGAGGAGAGCUCCAACUGGGUAUAUUAAUUGAGAAUAUGAGGCGUGAAGGAUUUGAGUUAUCUGUCUCUCCGCCUAAAGUCAUGUAUAAAACUAAAAAUGGUCGGAAGCUUGAGCCCGUAGAAGAAGUCACUAUUGAGGGGCCUGGUUGGGUAUAGGAGUGUGUUUAGCAGUGACACAUGUGGAACUGGAUUCAUGCAUCGUGCUUUCCUUGUACUCAUAAUUCUUGAAGAUGCAACUAUAGUGAUUCUGGUAGUGGCCGGAGAGUUACCCAUCCCUAAAAUAUGAAUGUGCUUUUAUAAUAAUUUUAAAUUUAUUAAAAUAAAAAAAUGUAUUGAUAUUAUGUAAAAUGAAGUGGCGAUUUAAAACUAUCAGAAAAAAGACAUUUUUUUUUGGCGAUUUAAAACUGUUAGCAUAUGUAAAUAAGAAAAAAGAAAAUAAAUUUUGUGGCGGUUUAAAAUCGCUAGAAAUGUUAAAUUAGGAAAAAUUUAGAUGAAUUUUGUGGCGGUUUUAAAUUGUCAAAAAUGUCAAACAAGUCAAACACAAAAGCAUUUUGACGGUUUUACACCGCUACAAAGAGAUCGCUACAAACAGUUUUUGGCGAUCGUAGAUCUAACGGGUAUUGAUGACGCCGGUAAUGCAUUUGUGGCGGUUUUUAACAGACAGAAACUACCAAAAUAACCGUAGUCUAUCCUUCACUUUCAUUUAACUAAACACUAUGAAAAUAAUUU